GUUACCGUGAGGUAGGGUCCGAAGGAAGCGUGGAGCAAAGACACGGGCCGAUGAACAAAAACCGGAUGAUGAGGCCUACGGUGCCGGGCGAACUGGCAAGUGACAGCGAAGCCCAUAUCCAUCAAGGGCACUGGUGGUAAAUCCGGAGGUCGCGUGUCGAAAGCGGUCGAAC
rfam:Acidobacteriales bacterium 13_2_20CM_55_8 13_2_20cm_scaffold_250, whole genome shotgun sequence.